UACGUAGGGUGCAAGCGUUAUCCGGAAUUAUUGGGCGUAAAGAGCUCGUAGGCGGUUUGUCGCGUCUGCUGUGAAAACUGGAGGCUCAACCUCCAGCCUGCAGUCGAUACGGGCAGACUAGAGUGCGGUAGGGGAGACUGGAAUUCCGUGGUGUAGCGGUGAAAUGCGCAGAUAUCAGGAGGAACACCGGUGGCGAAGGCGGGUCUCUGGGCCGUAACUGACGCUGAGGAGCGAAAGCGUGGGGAGCAAACAGG
rnacentral:rRNA from 1 species